rnacentral:lncRNA from 1 species
CUUACUUGAGUUAUAUUUGUAAUUCUAAUCUAAUUAGGAUUUUAAAUUAUUUCUCUUAUUUGAGAAAGAUUAAGAUUAAAUUAGCUACUAUUAUAUAUGUAAGUUUGUUAUUUUUAAUUUAUGAUAACAGACACAAGCUUCUCAUUAAUAAUAUUCAAUAUUUUCACAAUUAAGAUAUUAAUCCUUAGUGGGAUUUUUUUUUUUAAAUUUUCAAGACAAAUGAUAUUAGAGCUUUUUUUGGUAGCAGGCAGAGCAUUCCUGACCACCAACUCCGUACAUUAGUUCCAUCAAGUUAAAAAAAAAACUAGCAAAACCCGAAGCCGCCAUCACAUCUGCCACACACGGCUACUGCCGCCACCAGUUUCUCUUCUUUUCGGUCGAUCCUCUCUCCCAUCCGAAAGCCUACACGCCGCCAAUCAUAACCCAACCCAUAACACCACCAUCUCGUCACCGUAGCCACGGGAAACUAGCCAAAACAGCCGCUGAACCACCACGAAAAUCCGCCUCUCCAUUCGCUACAAUCAGCCGCGAUUCACAGCCUCCACCACCACUCAUUCGUCCACCAUCAUCAGCUCUUUCUUUUCAACCCACUCACGCUGCCAACCCCCGGCCGGAUCGCCGGAAACCGAAACCAACCUCCACCCACUACUUUAGCUCAACUUUUCAGUCAACUCACAACUAUUUGAGACAAACCACCACCAACAUCACACUCAGCACCAUCAAAUCUUCCAAAUCCACCUAUCCUAGGCCAAUUUUUCGACCACCGUCGACGGCAACACCAACUUUUGCCUAUUUUUAAUUUUGCCCCUUUACUUUUCUAUACUUACACUAUUACCUAUAAUUUUCUGUUCUUUAAAAAAAA